UGNGCCUAAACAUUGAAGGAGUGGGCCAC
rnacentral:piRNA from 1 species